AGACCAAUGAGGAAGUUUUUACCUUGCUUCUUUGUUUAGUGUCUUCAAGUGCAUAUUUUUUAUAUUUCAGAAACCUUUAGCUAGCGUACAAAUAACGAGCGUCAUCUAGUCUGCAACUCAACUUCAUGCACUUUUAUGAUUUUGUUUUGAUUGAGUUAAUUUAGUGUACAUAAUUUCUCAUAAAUACUAACGGUAGCUAGUUAGCAAAUACAGUCAGGAGCAUUUAUUGAUGUCAAUCUCUGAAGGUUUGCUCAAAUCACAAUGGAUGGUGAGAACAAACCCUGCCUGCCACUCUCCUUUACCGUACCUAAAUCUGAGGGUCCUGAUUGUAACAGUAAAGUCCAGAGUGAACAACAGGCUCCAGAGAUGGCAUCAGUGAAGCAGGAAGACUGCAGUCAAACACUGGGGCUGAAUGUCAACAUUAAAGAUGAAGUAAAGGAGGAAGAGAUUGAAACAUUUGUGUAUCAUGGGCCGGCUGGAGGGUUCAAAGAAGAGACGGAAGAACACAAAGUCUUACUACUCAAAGGAGAAGGACCUGACUACGCUGAACUUAAGGUUGAAGUUGAAACGUCCAGAGCGCAACACCGUGUAGAAAGCAAAGCUAAGGAGUCUAACCACUGCCCACACUGUGAGAAAAGUUUCCCAUUCCCAUCAUAUCUUGAAAGACACCUGCGGAAACAUACUGGAGAGAAGCCUUAUUCCUGUUCUGUCUGUGGGAAGUGCUUCAGGACGUCAACUCAUUUAACCACUCACCGGGGAGUUCACACAGGGGAGAGACCUUACUCCUGCUCUGACUGUGGAAAGUGUUUCUCUCUUGUAAGUAACUUUAAACAACAUCAGCGAACGCAUUCUGGAGAGAAGCCUUACUCCUGCUCCGAUUGUGGAGACAGUUUUUCUCAACAUGGUAACAUGCGUCGUCACCAGAAAAGACAUACUGGAGAGAAACCUUACUCCUGCUCCGAUUGUGGGAAGAGUUUCAUUACAACAUCUGAAUUAAUCAGUCACCAGAGAGUGCACACAGGAGAGAAACCUUUCCACUGUUCUGUCUGUGGGCAGAAUUACUUUAGCCUGAGUAACUUAAUACGCCACCAGAGAAUACACACCUAGGACAGAAGCCAUAUUCCUGCUUGACUGUGUGACGUGCUUCAAAACAUAAUCUGAACAAGAGGUCUUCACGAAUCCACCCGUACCCGGAAUACCCGAGAACCGAUCCGAUCCGGGACAUGAGCAGAUCUGGAUCCAGAAUUCUGAAUAAUGUUACAGGUCUGGUUCGGAUCUGAUUUGAUUGGGUCUCGGGUAUGUGUAAUUUAACUGACUUGUCCGGAGGGGCCCGUACAGAUCCGAACUCAACUACACAGAAACAGAGAGAGAGAGAGAGAGAGAGAAUUAUGAUGAUGCAGGAAGCUCCUCUCUCACACUGUCGAAGACAUGGAGCGGUACCUACACAGUCCCAACAUUGACCCUGUCUGCCGAGGAUGGCGUAGAGAGUUCCUGCUCUAUAGCUGUUAUUGACCGCUACGCACAGAGGACGAGGAGCCCAACCAGCAUGGAUCAGGGGCAGGAGGAAUGGCCUAACAGGGAGCUCCAGCGUGUAGCAGGGACAUGAGGGAAUGACCCAGCCUGACGGAGUGGAGAGAGCAGCAGUAAACUACAAGGGAAAGGUUUUUAAUUUCUCCUGAGACUGAUAGUUCCUACUCAGAGCAAUAGAGCAGGAACUCUCUGAGCCAUUACUGAUCCUGUAUAUUCAAUACAAGGCCAAAAGUAUAUGGACAUCUGCUCGUCGAACAUCUCAUUCCAAACUCAUGGGUGUUAAACCCAUUUAAUCCCACAUUUUCCCAGACAUGAAAAUAUCAAAAUCAUUAGUGACCCUUUGGAAUAAUAUUUUUUCUUUUUUUAAUGUUCAUGGAGGUGAGAUAAUGGUGAGAUAAUGGUGAGAUAAUGUGAUGUAUACUGAAUUAACAUUUAUCCUAUGCAGUCAUCAACAUUCUUAUAUAUCCCAGCCCACUUAUGAAUCGAUUACAUCCAUGCCAGCCAUAGUAUCGGAUCAUGCUCUCAUCCACUCCUGAUGACUAUGACUGAUUGAGCUCAGAGAAGACGGGCCUAAUCUUACAAAGUGUGUCGUCAGUGAUCUUUGCACACAAAGAUCACUGACGACACACUUUGUAAGAUUAGGCCCGUCUUCUCUCAACGACAUGAACUGAGGCCAUUGUUUAAUCAAAGCGAUUUCUCCGCAUUGCAUCUGAAGUGCUUUCAUUACUGUACAUCACUGUCAAGUGACCAAACCUUUUGUUUGGGAGCUUUGACGCAACCAUCUUCUCUUCUCAUGGUGCAACCAGGAAGUAAACAGCUCAUGUGACAAUUUACACUAAUGCAUUGAAAUGCUAGAAAUAUCAUUCAGUAACAUCUUUAGAGCCUAAUAACGUUUUUUCACUGAGCCAUUCAGUAAGGCCAUUCUUUUGCCAAUGUUUGUCAAUGGAGAUUGCAGAUUUUUCUUUACACCUGUCAGCAACCGGUGUGGCUGAAAUAAACAAAUCCACUAAUUUGAAGGGCAUCCACAUACUUUUGAUCAUGUAGUGUAGCUUACAUUGCUUGUCUGUUUUUUGUUUUAUUUUACCUUUAUUUAACUAGGCAAGUCAGUUAAGAACAAAUUCUUAUUUUCAAUGACGGCCUAGGAACAGUGUGUUAACUGCCUGGUAAGGGGCAGAACGACAGAUUGUCACCUUGUCAGCUUAGGGGUUUGAACUUGCAACCUUCCGGUUACUAGGCCAACGCUCUAACCACUAGGCUACCCUGCCGCCCCAUGUUUUGAUUUUGAGUACUGCGCUGUUGGGAAGGGCUUGCAAGUUCAUGUUAAGCAUUUCACUGUACUUGUGCAUGUGACAAAUAAAACCUGAAAAAUCAGAAAUGCACGAUAUCUUUCUGUAGUAAAAUAAAAUUUGAAAUCUUA